UGUACCUGUUAAUUAAMCAUGUUUGUGAUAAUUUCUUCAUUUUCAAACUUUAACCUGAAUUGGUGUCAAACUGCACUAAUAUUUAGAGAGUAAACUCAGAGCAGCUUUGUGUUCAUGGUUCAUUUGUUUUCCAUGUAGUUUAAAGGAAGCGAAAGAAACAGAUGUCGACGUUUGAACUGUUUCCACUUGAAUGUUUGGUCUCUCAGUUUAACCAUGAGCAAAUCAUCUCAGCGAUUGGUUAUUCAGUCUGGUGUGAUGAAGAUGUGAUGAGUAGUGAUGAAGAGUGAAGCUCUAAGGCGUCUUCAGCAGCCUUGGUUCUCAUGGCUGCRUCUUUUCUCCCCCUCUCUCCUCCAGUGGGUGUGUUUCAGCCCACCCUGACCGUCCUCCCCCCCUCCAAAGAGCAGCAGCAGCAGAGCAGUGUCACACUGGUGUGUCUGGCCAGCGGGGGCUUCCCCUCCACCUGGAGGCUGGGCUGGAAGGUGGGGGGCAGCAGCAGGUCCUCAGGGGUGUCCAGCAGCCUGGAGGUGCUGGGGGGGGACGGCCGCUACAGCUGGAGCAGCACCCUGAGCCUCCCUGCMGACCAGUGGAGGAAGGCGGGCUCAGUGAGCUGUGAGGCCAAUCAGAGUGGACAGAGUCCUGUCACUCAAACCCUGGAGCCUGACCGYUGCUCAGAGUAGAGCUGCAGCUUCAUGGCUGGAACCAUCAUGGUGUCAUGUUUUAUUCACAAACAUUACUUUUCAUGCUUCAUUCGUCUUCCUUAUGUUCUCUCAUGUAACUUGGAGUAAAUGGAUUGUUUCAAUAAAAG